GGCAGUAACUCAGUUGGUAGAGUGCUUGCCUCGCACACACAAGGCCCUGGGUUCAAUCCCCAACACCA
rnacentral:tRNA from 1 species